GACGAACGCUGACGGCGUGCUUAACACAUGCAAGUCGAAGGGAGUGGCGAACGGGUGAGUAACACGUGAGUAACCUGCCCUUUUCUUUGGGAUAAGCCUGGGAAACUGGGUCUAAUACUGGAUGGAUUGGGAUGGGCUCGCGGCUUAUCAGCUUGUUGGUGGGGUGAUGGCUUACCAAGGCUUUGCCGGGUAGCCGGCCUGAGAGGGUGCUCGGUGACAGUGGGACUGAGAUGCGGCCCAGAGUCCUACGGGGGGCAGAAGUGGGGGAUAUUGCAGAAUGGAUGAAAGUCUGAUGCAGCGACGUCGUGUGGGGGAUGAGGGCCUUCGGGUUGUAAACUCCGUGAGGCAGCGGAAUGGUAGUGGGUAAAGAAGCGCCGGCUAACUACGUGCCAGCAGCCGCGGUAAUUC
rnacentral:rRNA from 1 species